GGCAUGCGCAGUGCGUGUCCGCCGAGCACAGGGACGAGCGUGCGCGCGGCGGAGGUCGGGAGCGAGCGCUAGCCUAGGCAGGCAGUUUGUACAUUAGAAGGGGAACUUCAGAUCGUGAAGGGCCCCGUUGACGUUAAUUUUGUUUACCAAGCGGUAAUGAUGCGUUGGACGCGUGCAACUCUUUUAAACGUCAGCUCUUUGGCAGGAGAACGAACUGCGUUUAUUGCAAAAAUAAUAAAUCUGUUGUGUUGGAGGUGCAAUUAAUUACCUGAAUGACCUUUUGCGCCUCCCUCCCUCCCCCCGGCUAGCUUAUUUCCGUUUAUACUUUUAACCGGGUCGUUAAAUCAUACACAGGGCACACAUGCACUCUUUGUGUCUUGUGUUUUUGGUUUUCUGGGUUUUUUGGUUUGUUGUUUUGUUUUGUUUUGUUUUUUUGGUAAAGACGUUUUCUUCUCCCUAACAUGAUUUUGUAAAAUAGUUUUCACUUGAGUUUGCCCCGUUUUCGGGGGUAAGUUCAAGGCUUUAGGAGCUGGGUUCCACUCAGCAGUAUAAAUAGAGCGGACUCACUGGGUGUCUGGUUUUGUUUUGUGUGUGUAAUGAUUUCCAACUCGGUCCGUGUUUUGCAACUGCAGCUGAAACUCCGUGUGCACCCGCUCGUGGGAGCGCCAUAAGGCAGGAAUCCUGCGAAGUUAUUUCUGUUAAUUGGGAAGCAAAUGCUUGUGUGGGAUGCUGUCGUUUCUGGACAGAAAGCCCCAGGUGGUUGAUGGCACCCCCCUACUUGGGGAAGGAAGAGGCCCCAAAGACAAGUGCCUGUGAGGUCCGAUCUCACGGGUCCAGGCUGAUCCUAAGCUGCAGGACUCAGCCCACGACCCAGCGUCACUGCCUGCCCUUGAUUAAAAUCAGACUGAUUUUCCAUGACAGCUUUCCAGCGACGGAACCACAGAUGAAAUGGCCUUGGAAGACUUUUUCUUUCAGCAAAGACGGUGUCAUGGUCAUUCCCUGGGUGCUAUGCUGUUACUGUUGCCAGGACAAAAAGCAUAGAAAACAUCCAUUAAAACUUUCCAAUCUAAGCAGUGGUGUUUUAGGUAAAAUGCCAUACGGACCUGGUAAUUAAGAAAAAUAAUAAUUUAUUUUGUUAGCAUCCAUCUUAAUAAGCUUUCAAAGAAGAAUAGAAGUGUUGAUCAAACCAACAAAAGGAAACGAAUUGAUAGCAGCCCUAACCAAACUAAAGAGAACAGAAAAAUCGUAAAUGCUUAAAAAAAAAAAAAAAAAGGAUGUUGUUCAGAUUUGCCCUUUUCUCCAAAAGGAAAGAGUUUUACAGAGGUUAUGCACGUGUGCAUUUUUUUUUUCAGAUGUCCACGUAUUUUCCUGAUUCAAGAUCCCAGUUUUAAGCAGUGACGUGGUGGUGGUGGGGGGCCUCACAGACAGCGAGGCUGUGUCUCCACGGUCCUGCAGAUGAGAGUCAGCCGCUGAAUGAUGUGUUUCUGUCCAGCUCCCGCUGGGAUGCUUGGGAAGCUUUCACUUCUUGCUAUCAGCUCGCCUGGAUCCGUCAGUCCUUUCUUAAUUUAUUUAUGAUGUAUUUAUUAUGCUGGAAUGUGGCAUAAUUAAGCUGCCGCCUAUUGGGUCCUCUGAGUGUGUGCUACAAGCCUGAGGACAGAGAUAAAUAAAAGACGGUUCACAAUCUCAAA